rnacentral:rRNA from 1 species
CUACGGGGCGCAGCAGUGGGGAAUAUUGCACAAUGGGCGCAAGCCUGAUGCAGCCAUGCCGCGUGUAUGAAGAAGGCCUUCGGGUUGUAAAGUACUUUCAGCGGGGAGGAAGGGAGUAAAGUUAAUACCUUUGCUCAUUGACGUUACCCGCAGAAGAAGCACCGGCUAACUCCGUGCCAGCAGCCGCGGUAAUACGGAGGGUACAAGCGUUAAUCGGAAUUACUGGGCGUAAAGCGCACGCAGGCGGUGUGUUAAGUCAGGUGUGAAAUCCCCGGGCUCAACCUGGGAACUGCAUCUGAUACUGGCAAGCUUGAGUCUCGUAGAGGGGGGUAGAAUUCCAGGUGUAGCGGUGAAAUGCGUAGAGAUCUGGAGGAAUACCGGUGGCGAAGGCGGCCCCCUGGACGAAGACUGACGCUCAGGUGCGAAAGCGUGGGGAGCAAACAGGAUUAGAUACCCCCGUAGUC